GACCGGGUAGCUCAGCUGGUAGAGCAACGGACUUUUAAUCCGUAGGUCGUGGGUUCGAGACCCACCCCGGUCA
rnacentral:tRNA from 1 species